GACAGAGGGGGCAAGCGUUGCUCGGAAUUACUGGGCGUAAAGCGCGUGUAGGCGGCCCUGCAAGUCGGGUGUGAAAUCCCACGGCUCAACCGUGGAAGUGCACUCGAAACUGCAGGGCUAGAGUCCUGGAGAGGAAGGUGGAAUGCUUGGUGUAGAGGUGAAAUUCGUAGAUAUCAAGCGGAACACCGGUGGCGAAGGCGGCCUUCUGGACAGUGACUGACGCUGAGACGCGAAAGCGUGGGGAGCAAACAGG
rnacentral:rRNA from 1 species